CGAGUGGCGGACGGGUGAGUAACGCGUGGGUAACCUGCCUUACACAGGGGGAUAACACCUGGAAACAGGUGCUAAUACCGCAUAAGCGCACAGGGCCGCAUGGCCCGGUGUGAAAAACUCCGGUGGUGUAAGAUGGACCCGCGUCUGAUUAGCUUGUUGGCGGGGUAGAGGCCCACCAAGGCGACGAUCAGUAGCCGGCCUGAGAGGGUGGACGGCCACAUUGGGACUGAGACACGGCCCAAACUCCUACGGAAGGCAGCAG
rnacentral:rRNA from 1 species